UACGAAGGGGACUAGCGUUGUUCGGAAUUACUGGGCGUAAAGCGCACGUAGGCGGAUUGCUAAGUCAGGGGUGAAAUCCCGGGGCUCAACCUCGGAACUGCCUUUGAUACUGGCAAUCUCGAGUCCGAUAGAGGUGGGUGGAAUUCCUAGUGUAGAGGUGAAAUUCGUAGAUAUUAGGAAGAACACCGGUGGCGAAGGCGGCCCGCUGGAUCGGUACUGACGCUGAGGUGCGAAAGCGUGGGGAGCAAACAGG
rnacentral:rRNA from 1 species